GACAGAGGUGCCGAGCGUUAGGCGGAAUCACUGGGCUUAAAGCGUGUGUAGGCUGAUCGUUAAGUACCUUGUGAAAUCCCCCGGCUCAACCGGGGAACUGCUGGGUAUACUGGCGAUCUUGAGCGAUCUAGGGGCAGAUGGAACAAGUGGUGGAGCGGUGAAAUGCGUAGAUAUCACUUGGAACGCCAAAGGUGAAAACAGUCUGCUGGGGAUCUGCUGACGCUGAGACACGAAAGCCAGGGGAGCGAACGGG
rnacentral:rRNA from 1 species